UGAUUAUGGCUUGAUCAGUGGCUUAAGU
rnacentral:sRNA from 1 species